CACCCUAAUAUUAUGUGAAAACAUAAACAAAUUUGGAAAGUCGAAAAAAGAGGAAUCAACGAGGUGGGCCCCAAUCUUUUCAAUAUUCUACUUAUUUAGAAGCGGGAGUUGAGGUGCUUUUUGUCGUCCGGCUUCUGCAAUUACAACAAACUCCCUUCUUUGUAUCAAAAUCCGGGGUUAUUUUGAUCUUUCUGUCAUGUCUUACACAGCCGAUUUUGUGGACGCAAAAUCGCUGAAUUCUUUUUCGUUCCCUCCGUGCUCUGUUUCUCUCUCUUGGGUACGCGCGCCUUUUUGUCGUCUCCUUCGCUUCCGGCGUGGAAGAUAAACUGGUUCUUGCUUUUGGCGCUGUGACCUGUUCUUCUCGCUCUGCACCACCUACGUUUUUGGUGGGUAUCUGCAAUUAACGUUGUCCCUUGAAGUCUGUUUACUUUGGUACCCCUUGCUUCUGCAUAUUUGCUCUUUAACCUCAACGUUAUAGCGGACAAUUUACCGCACUGGUUAGCUGUGAUCGCCCAAUAAAUUGUGAAACACCUUUUGUUUUGCUUGGGUUUCCUCCUUGUUUUUGCAGCUUCACUUUUCUGCUAUCUUUCUGUUUGGUGGCUGAAAGAUUAUGAUCUUAGACUUCAAACUGACUUAUCUAAGUGGGGCACUGCAAUUGCUCACCUUAUCAACAGUUUCCACAUGCCACAAGGAUCUAAGCUAGAAAAGAAACAAGUAAAAGCUCUAACCUUCAGCUUCCUAUGGGGUGUCUUCCAACGAUUUUGAUGACUGUGGAUCUGCGUGUUUCCAACGUUCAGUCUUAAAAGCCUAUGAGAACAGUAAGCAGCCUACAAUCUUGACGUAAUGGGAGGACUUCACUCAGAUUGUCGGAAGCACCCUAGAUACACAGGCUGCUGAAUAUCCAUAAUUAUAGCAAACGAGUUGCACGAACCAACUAUGCUGGAUUAUUUUGUCGACAAGGUACAACCCGGUCAUACUGAUAAAUCCACCAUAUUUCUAAGUUGGAGAACUUAUGAACUGCCCUGUACAUAUACAAUGUUGGAGACAAGGAAGAUAUAAUGGCAAGGUACAGAUAGGCAAGUUCUCCGCAAAUAGCUUCAUCAACUGUACUUGUACCAGUACAUGAUAACAUAGUACCAACUGCAGAGAUUCAGCCGUAGUCUCCUAUACAUCUCUUUCGCAUCGGAGGUAAAAUGUUGCUGCCGGCUACUGACCAAGAGCUCUAUGAACUAUUAUGUUCCCACUGCGGGCUAUAAUACAGAAUAGCUGUAAGGAGAAUUGUUCAUUGUGCAAGUUGCAACAGACGUGCGAUGUUAAUACCCAGAUAAAAUAACACACAAUAACUUGCAUAUCAUGGCCUGCUUUGAUGUAUAAUUGCAGAUUUCAGUGGAACAGUUAUUGCGACCUUAUCAAGCCAAUUAGAAGAGAAUUUUCUUGAAAUUACCUCUGCAAAAAUGUAUGAAAUAAUCUGUGUAAAGGUAUGUGAGUGAGAAUAAGAGACUUUAUUAGUCAUUUCUGAGAAUUCAUUGCACUUUAGAAAAACAUUCUACCCUUAUUGAGAUGCCAUUGAGAUCAAAAGCAUGACAGACUAUAGUCUUGGUUAAAGAGCUUUCACAACCCAUGGUGUCAUUGUUUAGGUUUCCUUGGUUUACUGCCAAAUGCAAACUUGAUUUUGGA